UUGACUAGACGGACCUUUGUUGGCAAAGUAAUGUCUCUGCUUUUGAAUAUGCUAUCUAGGUUGGUCAUAACUUUCCUUCCAAGGAGUAAGCGUCUUUUAAUUUCAUGGCUGCAAUCACCAUCUGCAGUGAUUUUUGGAGCCCCCCAAAAUAAAGUCUGACACUGUUUCCACUGUUUCCCCAUCUAUUCCCCAUGAAGUGGUGGGACCAGAUACUAGAUCUGGUAGAUAGAGUGCCUGAUGAACUAUGGAAUGAGGUUCGUGACAUUGUAUAGGAGACAGGGAUCAAGACCAUCCCCAUGGAAAAGAAAUGCAAAAAAGCAAAAUGCCUGUCUGGGGAGGCCUUACAAAUAGCUGUGAAAAGAAGAGAAGCGAAAAACAAAGGAGAAAAGGAAAGAUAUAAGCAUCUGAAAGCGGAGUUCCAAAGAAUAGCAAGAAGAGAUAAGAAAGCCUUCCUCAGGGAUCAAUGCAAAGAAAUAGAGGAAAACAACAGAGUGGGAAAGACUAGAGAUCUCUUCAAUAAUUAGAGAUACCAAGGGAACAUUUCAUGGCAUAGAUGAAGUUUCCUAAAUUCCUAUGCCCUUUCUCAACGAGUCUGCACUUGGAUCCUAGAAUUUGGAACUGCAACCCAGAGAGUGUCCUUAGUCUCAGAUGUUAAAGUCAGGGCAAUGGUGAGGUGGCCAUGUCUGCACAAAGUUGUGUCUAUGUUAGAGACAUGGAACCGAAAGUUACAGGUGCAUGGGGAGAGAGAGAAUGAGAGGGAGGGUUGUGUGCGUGUGUGUGUGUAUGUGAGAGAGAUAGGAGUGGGAAUAGUUAUGAGGGGUAGAGAAAUCUGGGGCAGUCUGAGAAGGAACCACAGUUCCUAACUGUAGCUCCUCUACAGUUAAUAAAAACACAGUGGGGAAAAUGAGACAGCGGGUAAUGCAGCUUUUCACUUACAGUCUCUUAUAUGCAGGUGAAUUAUGAAUGAACCCUUCUUGCAUUAUCAACAGCUGACUUGGAUAACACACAACUUUGUGAAUGCAGGCCUGUCUUUGAAGGUGCAGUGUGCUGAUGCAUCACAAUUUGCAAAAAAAAAUUUAAACCCAUCUGCAAAUUCUGUGACUCUCCUUUGUUUCAGUCGAAACAUUCUUGGCACUACUUCCACCUAUAGAAUGUGCUGGAAGUGAUGCUGUGGGUCUUCUGAAGCCACAGAAAGGUAAAAGACCAUGCAUCUUCUGCCUGGUUCUUUUGCAGUGCCCAUUCUGGCCACAGUGGCUGAGAAAGAAGCCUGACUUUUUGAAACUAGCAUGCUGGAGAGACCACAUAUAGGUUUUCUAGUCAACAGCUUCAGCUGAGCUCUCAGCCAGUAGCUAACAUCUAGCCACAAGAAUGAGCUGUCUUGGAUGUCCAGUCUUUAGAUGACAGCUGCCCCAGACACCAUCUGUCUACAUCCACAUGAGAAACUCCUAGCAAGAAGUUCUCAGCUCACUUUAAAAUUUCUGACCCACAAAACCAUAAGCAAGAGAGAAGACAGGGGAUAGAUAUUAACCGUGCAACCAACACUCUCUGGGCUGCUUGACUAUAGAAAACUUCUCUUUCUUGCUACCACUAAAGAUGGUCCAGCAGGCAAAUGUGCUGGAGACCUCUCAACUUGUUUGGGUAUAAUACUGGCCAAGAAAGUCAAGGGUAUUUUUCUUUAUAGAUCAAUGUCUGAAUUAGCUAAUACCUCUCAUUUCUGUGCCACGAAUUGAACUGUGAAUUCCCACUUGUCUUUUCGCAAGUAUAUAGCAUGAGUCACCAUGCAUCGGGG
ensembl:lncRNA